UACGAAGGGUGCAAGCGUUACUCGGAAUUACUGGGCGUAAAGCGUGCGUAGGUGGUUUGUUAAGUCUGAUGUGAAAGCCCUGGGCUCAACCUGGGAACUGCAUUGGAUACUGGCUGACUAGAGUGCGGUAGAGGGGUGUGGAAUUCCCGGUGUAGCAGUGAAAUGCGUAGAUAUCGGGAGGAACAUCUGUGGCGAAGGCGACACCCUGGACCAGCACUGACACUGAGGCACGAAAGCGUGGGGAGCAAACAGGG
rnacentral:rRNA from 1 species